rnacentral:rRNA from 1 species
CCUACGGGAGGCAGCAGUGAGGAAUAUUGGUCAAUGGACGCAAGUCUGAACCAGCCAUGCCGCGUGCAGGAAGACGGCUCUAUGAGUUGUAAACUGCUUUUGUACGAGGGUAAACGCAGAUACGCGUAUCUGUCUGAAAGUAUCGUACGAAUAAGGAUCGGCUAACUCCGUGCCAGCAGCCGCGGUAAUACGGAGGAUUCAAGCGUUAUCCGGAUUUAUUGGGUUUAAAGGGUGCGUAGGCGGUUCGAUAAGUUAGAGGUGAAAUCCCGGGGCUCAACUCCGGCACUGCCUCUGAUACUGUCGGGCUAGAGUUUAGUUGCGGUAGGCGGAAUGUAUGGUGUAGCGGUGAAAUGCAUAGAGAUCAUACAGAACACCGAUUGCGAAGGCGGCUUACUGGACAGUAACUGACGUUGAGGCUCGAAAGCGUGGGGAGCAAACAGGAUUAGAUACCCCGGUAGUC